rnacentral:rRNA from 1 species
UACAGAGGUCUCAAGCGUUGUUCGGAAUCACUGGGCGUAAAGGGUGCGUAGGCCGCACGGUAAGUCAGAGGUGAAAUCCCGGAGCUCAACUUCGGAAUUGCCUCCGAUACUGCCGUGCUUGAGGACUGGAGAGGAGAUUGGAAUUUACGGUGUAGCAGUGAAAUGCGUAGAUAUCGUAAGGAAGACCAGUGGCGAAGGCGAAUCUCUGGACAGUUACUGACACUGAGGCACGAAGGCCAGGGGAGCAAAACGGG